rnacentral:tRNA from 1 species
GCCCUUGUAGUGUAACGGUAGGAUACUCGGUCUGUACUCGAGAGGUCCAGGUUCGGGUCCCGGCGAAGGCG